UACAGAGGUCUCAACCGUUGUUCGGAUUCAUUGGGCAUAAAGGGCGCGUAGGCGGCCUGCUAAGUCGAACGUGAAAUCCCCGGGCUCAACCCGGGAACUGCGUCCGAUACUGGAUGGCUUGAGGUUGGGAGAGGGAUGCGGAAUUCCAGGUGUAGCGGUGAAAUGCGUAGAUAUCUGGAGGAACACCGGUGGCGAAGGCGGCAUCCUGGACCAAUUCUGACGUUUGAGUGAGCGAAAGCCAGGGGAGCAAAGCGGG
rnacentral:rRNA from 1 species